AGUAGUUUGAUCCGUGGCUCGAGGACGAACGCUGGCGGCGUGCUUAACACAUGCAAGUCGAACGGAGAUUAUUCGGAUGAGAGCUUCGGCAGGAUUCAGGAUAAUUUCAGUGGCGGACGGGUGAGUAACGCGUGAGCAACCUGUCCCAGACAGGGGGAUAACACUUGGAAACAGGUGCUAAUACCGCAUAAGACCACGGGAUCACAUGGUUCUGGGGUAAAAGGUGUAAACCGGUUUGGGGUGGGCUCGCGUCCGAUUAGAUAGUUGGUGAGGUAACGGCCCACCAAGUCAACGAUCGGUAGCCGACCUGAGAGGGUGAUCGGCCACAUUGGAACUGAGAGACGGUCCAAACUCC
rnacentral:rRNA from 1 species